rnacentral:lncRNA from 10 species
UUCUUUCGCUGCGAUCUGUCAAGUCCUCCGGCCCCCUCGCGAGCGGCACACGCCCCCCACCCCCGGCGCCGCGGCUCCUGCAGUCGAGUCCGCGCCGAGGGACCCUUCUCCGUGCCCACCGGUCCGCACCCCCGGGCUCAGCCUGUGCCAUUCGGUCUAGCCAGAGGCGCGUCACCCAGCCGGCAGCCCCCAGCCGGAUUCACUGUAUUCUUGACCUUUUUUAAAAUGCUAGAAAUGAGGAACAGGGGCUCCGGCGCGGGGAGGAGAUUAUCUGGCCUCCCUGAACACACGAAUCCAAAGGCACCCGCGACCGCAUGCCCUCCGUGGGAACCUCUUCCCCUGGGCGGGAAUCUCCCGCUCCGUCCACUAAGUCCAGGGCCGGCAGCGAAGGGCUCAGGAGCGCAGUUAGAGAGAACCAGGUCAUUUUAUUACUUAUCCCUAAUUAAAUUUAGCUGUUUGUUACUUCUUUUUUAUUUGCAACGGAAGUGAUCGGGUGUUAAGUAAAAACGCAAGGGGGGCGGGAGAUAGGACCAAAGCCUUGGGGCGCAGCCUGCCCCACCCCCAAAUUCCUUGAGGCUACUUGCUGUGUGUGUCAGUCAACCCCCCACCCACACCCCACCUUUCCUCAUCUGGGCUGCAGGUCCAGGACAUCCUGUCAAGGAUCAGUGGGGCCAAAGGUGGGAAGAUAAUGGCCCUUGUGUCUCAAGCAGAAGAAACAGUUUUCCAGUUUUGUUUUGUUAUGCUUUUGCUUUUUUAGGAAGAAUAUGGAAGGCAUUUCCUUUUAGAAAGAUGGGACCACUUAGGAUGGAAGAUGGACAGUAGGGUUUUAAAUAUCUUGUCCAAAAGGACAGCUUCCAACUCUUGUUUUUUAAUCCCUUUCUUUCUUACAAGUAAUUCUGCAAUGGAAAAAGUGGCAUCUAGAGAAAAUUAGUCAGUUGGACAAGAGGUUGUUGAAAAAAUAAAAGAGAAAAGAGGGGAAAAAAGGAAAAAUUAGGCCUCUUACAAAAGUUAAAAAGAUUGAGAGAGAUUAUCUUUCUUCUUUUAUAUUCUCACUAUCGUCUCUCUAGUCCGGGCUCCUGUUUCUUCAUAAUCUAUUUAUCACAACAGCUUCUUGCUGAUACUAGGCAUGGGUGGGGUGGGGAGCGUGAGCCGGAUGGAUUGGGGACGGGCGGGGACUGGUUCCCACCCUGGUCUUGUGGUCUCUUCACGUUUACUAUCAAAUUUGGACAGUCUGGGCCUCCUCUGACAGCCGCUAGGGGACCUCAGUAACUCAGAUGAUGAGCUCAAAGGCAGGCCCCCAAAGUACAGCUGUUGCUUCCCCCCACCUUUCCAAUUACACUCUGCAGAAGCAGCCCCCGAUCCAGACAGCCGCACCCUAAAAAUAGGCGGUGCCCUACUGGAUCAUUCUUGGCAAAGGAAGCCAGCUUCAAAUUUGGCCUUGCCUUCAUUUCUAUUCCGGUUUUUCAGGGCGUCAGAGAAUAUUUAUUUGGUUAAAGGAGUCUUCCUACAGACUUUCCCCAAAUCCUUGAAAUCUUUGAGGCUCUCCUGCCCAAUUGUUUCUUCAAAUGUCAUAGUUUACUUUUAUUUGGUCUUUCUUUAAAAAAAUUGACGAGGCAGGCACAGAGAACCUAUAACACCAAUGUCCCUGACACAUAGGUCCAAAAAAUUAAAAAUAUAUAUUGAAGGGUUUUUACAGCUAACCACCACACUGUUGUAUCUAAAUAUCAAUUUACUGAACCCCAGGAUGUUGGUGAAUAUUUCACUUGUUUCCAGUCUUUAGCUAUCAUAGACUAUUCUGUAAGAAAUAACCUUGCAGGGAGGCCGAGGCGGGCGGAUCAUGAGGUCAGGAGAUAGAGACCAUCCUGGCUAACACGGUGAAACCCGUCUCUACUAAAAAUACAAAAAAUUAGCC